UAAAUUAUUUACUCUGCUAAUGAAGUAGGAUCCAAGGCCCUGAUAAGGGUUGCAUGGGCUCUUCUAUUCAACUCCUAUUUCGUCACCUUCACGUCAUGCAGAGUGGUAACCUGCUUCACCGUAUACUCAAGCUUGAGUAAACGGGGCCAGUCCCAACCCUUUGGACAGAUGGUGAGGUACGGCCGAACAGGAUGGA
rnacentral:ribozyme from 1 species